rnacentral:rRNA from 1 species
GACCUACGGGUGGCUGCAGUGGGGAAUUUUGGACAAUGGGCGCAAGCCUGAUCCAGCAAUGCCGCGUGCAGGAAGAAGGCCUUCGGGUUGUAAACUGCUUUUGUCAGGGAAGAAAUCUUCUGGGUUAAUACCCCGGGAGGAUGACGGUACCUGAAGAAUAAGCACCGGCUAACUACGUGCCAGCAGCCGCGGUAAUACGUAGGGUGCGAGCGUUAAUCGGAAUUACUGGGCGUAAAGCGUGCGCAGGCGGCUUUGCAAGACAGAUGUGAAAGCCCCGGGCUCAACCUGGGAACUGCAUUUGUGACUGCAAUGCUAGAGUACGGCAGAGGGGGAUGGAAUUCCGCGUGUAGCAGUGAAAUGCGUAGAUAUGCGGAGGAACACCAAUGGCGAAGGCAAUCCCCUGGGCCUGUACUGACGCUCAUGCACGAAAGCGUGGGGAGCAAACAGGAUUAGAUACCCGGGUAGUCCGC